rnacentral:rRNA from 1 species
UACGUAGGGUGCGAGCGUUGUCCGGAAUUACUGGGCGUAAAGAGCUCGUAGGUGGUUUGUCGCGUCGUCUGUGAAAUUCCGGGGCUUAACUCCGGGCGUGCAGGCGAUACGGGCAUAACUUGAGUACUGUAGGGGAGACUGGAAUUCCUGGUGUAGCGGUGAAAUGCGCAGAUAUCAGGAGGAACACCGGUGGCGAAGGCGGGUCUCUGGGCAGUAACUGACGCUGAGGAGCGAAAGCAUGGGUAGCGAACAGGAUUAGAUACCCCCGUA